UUUUGAAUACUAUUAUAGAUAGAGAUAACCUGUAGACAGCAAUAAUGUUCAGAAAAGUAAGAUUUACAAAUAAGUCAACAUGACUAAAAUGGUCAAUUGACCCCUUAGGAGUUAUUGUCCUUUAUACUCAAUUUUUAACAAUUUUCAUAAAAUUUGUAAAUUUUUACUAACAUUUUCCACUGAAACUACUGGGCCAAGUUCAUUAUAGAUAGAGAUAAUUGUAAGCAGCAAGAAUGUUCAGUAAAGUAAGAUGUACAACCACAUCACCAUCAACAAAACACAAUUUUGUCAUGAAUCUAUCAGCUUCUUUUGUUUAAUAUUCAAAUAUACCAAGGUGAGCGACACAGGCUCUUUAGAGCCUCUAGUUUAUAAUAUACUGUUGUCAUUUAGUAAUGAGUCUGGUAUUUUGCAACUAAAUACAAAUUUCCUGAUUUUUUACAGUUUAAAUAAAACUA
rnacentral:lncRNA from 1 species